rnacentral:rRNA from 1 species
UCAAAAACAUGGCUUCUCGUGUUUUAAGUAGGAGGAGUCUGGCCUGCCCGGUGGGGGUGGUUCUAAACGGUCGCAGCUACCACUGUGCUAAGGUAGCAUAAUAGGUCGUCCUUUAAUUGGGGAAUAGUAUGAAUGGUCGGAUGAUGGAAAAGCUUUAUUGAGGGCAGUUUUUGAAUUUUACCUUCGAGGUGCAAAGGCUUGAAUUUGUUUAUAAGACGAGAAGACCCUGUUGAGCUUGGUAGUUUUAAACCGAGUUGGUUUAUUAGGUAUGUUUUUUCGGGGUCGAAAGGAAGGGAUGAGAAUACCUUCUUUGUAAUGUAGAGAUCCAGCGUGGCUGAUAAGAAGAAGAUAGUUACCACAGGGAUAACAGCGCAAUCUUUCUGUGAAGAUCAUAUUUGAGGAGAGGUUUGCGACCUCGAUGUUGAAUCAAAAUUCCUAUCAGGUGUAGCAGCUUGGUAAGUGGGACUGUUCGUCCUUUAAAAUUUUACGUGAUCUGAGUUCAGACCGGA